AAUAAUUAAUAUAUAUGUAAUUUUUAGAUCUUGUAAUCUGAAGGCACAGGCUUAUGCUAAGCUUCUUGUGGAAGAAGAUAUACGCAUCCCUGCAUGGUUCUCUUUUAGCUGCAAAAACAAGACCCAUGUGAUUAAUGGUGAUCCCAUUUAGGACUAUGCUUCUAUGGCUGACUCAUGCUCACAGGUCAUUGCAAUUGGAGUCAACUGUACAGCUCCCAAAUUUAUUCAUGGUUUGAUUUCAUCUAUUAAAAAGGGCAUCAAGAAAAAAAGGAUGAAGAUUUAUUGGUAUUGCCAACAGAUGUUGUUCUUUUUGAGGAUUCAUCCUUCAAGGUUUAUGCUGAGAAAUACGCUAAGGAUCAGGUAGCAUUCUUCAACGAUUAUGCUGAAGCCCAUGCUAAGCUAAGCAACCUUGGUGCAAAAUUUGAUCCUCCAGAGGAUCAAUGCAAAAAAUCUCCAUGGCAGAUGCUAAUAAAGUAACCGAAUGGGAUCUAAUAUCCUGCUGUCUUCCACUUGAUGAUAAGGUAUGAGUUCUAAGGUUCACCGGAUGCAUCCUCUACUUCAAUUCAUGAAUAUAAAAUAGGUCUUAUGGGAUUGUAUUCAUAUUUUCAUUUUGAGACUUUUAUGUAAUUAGACAAUAUUAAAAUAUUGAAGUUGUUUUAUUUUACUUUCUAAAGAAAAAUAGUAAUAGUUAUGUAGAACAAUACUAUAUGGAAUUAUGUUUGGAACUAUUGACAUUGGGAAUUUUUUAUAUAUAGAGUUAUGUCUUAUAUUG